rnacentral:lncRNA from 1 species
UACAACAGGCAGAAACUGCCACAAAAGCAACUCUAUUGAGGACAUCAAUUCUGUUGGGAACGCUGCAAGGAAAUCACGAAACUUCUGCAGGGAAACAUCUCAGACACAAUCCACCGUACCACAAAUCUACUGGCGAAUUAUCUGAGGAGGAGAAGGAGAGCUGGGGAUCAAUCACCAAAUGCCGAGAAGGAAAUAAUCACUGCUCUGCUGAAGGGAUAAGAGGUGAAAAACCUC